rnacentral:piRNA from 1 species
UUGGUCCCUCCAACAUCUGGAUGUCUUCAU